rnacentral:rRNA from 1 species
GGGUUGUGAGGUUAAGCGACUAAGCGUACACGGUGGAUGCCCUGGCAGUCAGAGGCGAUGAAGGGCGUGCUAAUCUGCGAUAAGCGCCGGUAAGGUGAUAUGAACCGUUAUAACCGGCGAUACCCGAAUGGGGAAACCCAGUGUGACUCGUCACACUAUCAUUAACUGAAUCCAUAGGUUAAUGAGGCGAACCGGGGGAACUGAAACAUCUAAGUACCCCGAGGAAAAGAAAUCAACCGAGAUUCCCCCAGUAGCGGCGAGCGAACGGGGAGGAGCCCAGAGCCUGAAUCAGCAUGUGUGUUAGUGGAAGCGUCUGGAAAGGCGCGCGAUACAGGGUGACAGCCCCGUACACAAAAGCGCAUGUGCUGUGAGCUCGAUGAGUAGGGCGGGACACGUGGUAUCCUGUCUGAAUAUGGGGGGACCAUCCUCCAAGGCUAAAUACUCCUGACUGACCGAUAGUGAACCAGUACCGUGAGGGAAAGGCGAAAAGAACCCCGGCGAGGGGAGUGAAAAAGAACCUGAAACCGUGUACGUACAAGCAGUGGGAGCACAGGUUUACCUGUGUGACUGCGUACCUUUUGUAUAAUGGGUCAGCGACUUAUAUUCUGUAGCAAGGUUAACCGUAUAGGGGAGCCGGAGGGAAACCGAGUCUUAACCGGGCGUUAAGUUGCAGGGUAUAGACCCGAAACCCGGUGAUCUAGCCAUGGGCAGGUUGAAGGUUGGGUAACACUAACUGGAGGACCGAACCGACUAAUGUUGAAAAAUUAGCGGAUGACCUGUGGCUGGGGGUGAAAGGCCAAUCAAACCGGGAGAUAGCUGGUUCUCCCCGAAAGCUAUUUAGGUAGCGCCUCGUGAAUUCAUCUCCGGGGGUAGAGCACUGUUUCGGCUAGGGGGCCAUCCCGGCUUACCAACCCGAUGCAAACUGCGAAUACCGGAGAAUGUUAUCACGGGAGACACACGGCGGGUGCUAACGUCCGUCGUGAAGAGGGAAACAACCCAGACCGCCAGCUAAGGUCCCAAAGUCAUGGUUAAGUGGGAAACGAUGUGGGAAGGCCCAGACAGCCAGGAUGUUGGCUUAGAAGCAGCCAUCAUUUAAAGAAAGCGUAAUAGCUCACUGGUCGAGUCGGCCUGCGCGGAAGAUGUAACGGGGCUAAACCAUGCACCGAAGCUGCGGCAGCGAACGUAUCACCCAAGACAACUUUACGGAGUUGACGAUUGACGGAGCGAAGCGACGUCAAAGCGUUCAUUAAAGUCGAGUUGGCUUAGGGAUACGUUCGUUGGGUAGGGGAGCGUUCUGUAAGCCUGUGAAGGUGGCCUGUGAGGGUUGCUGGAGGUAUCAGAAGUGCGAAUGCUGACAUAAGUAACGAUAAAGCGGGUGAAAAGCCCGCUCGCCGGAAGACCAAGGGUUCCUGUCCAACGUUAAUCGGGGCAGGGUGAGUCGACCCCUAAGGCGAGGCCGAAAGGCGUAGUCGAUGGGAAACGGGUUAAUAUUCCCGUACUUGGUGUUACUGCGAAGGGGGGACGGAGAAGGCUAUGUUGGCCGGGCGACGGUUGUCCCGGUUUAAGCGUGUAGGUGUGUGUUCCAGGUAAAUCCGGUUCACUUUAACACUGAGGCGUGAUGACGAGGCACUACGGUGCUGAAGCAACAAAUGCCCUGCUUCCAGGAAAAGCCUCUAAGCAUCAGGUAACAUCAAAUCGUACCCCAAACCGACACAGGUGGUCAGGUAGAGAAUACCAAGGCGCUUGAGAGAACUCGGGUGAAGGAACUAGGCAAAAUGGUGCCGUAACUUCGGGAGAAGGCACGCUGACACGUAGGUGAAGUGAUUUACUCACGGAGCUGAAGUCAGUCGAAGAUACCAGCUGGCUGCAACUGUUUAUUAAAAACACAGCACUGUGCAAACACGAAAGUGGACGUAUACGGUGUGACGCCUGCCCGGUGCCGGAAGGUUAAUUGAUGGGGUCAGCGCAAGCGAAGCUCCUGAUCGAAGCCCCGGUAAACGGCGGCCGUAACUAUAACGGUCCUAAGGUAGCGAAAUUCCUUGUCGGGUAAGUUCCGACCUGCACGAAUGGCGUAAUGAUGGCCAGGCUGUCUCCACCCGAGACUCAGUGAAAUUGAACUCGCUGUGAAGAUGCAGUGUACCCGCGGCAAGACGGAAAGACCCCGUGAACCUUUACUAUAGCUUGACACUGAACAUUGAGCCUUGAUGUGUAGGAUAGGUGGGAGGCUUUGAAGUGUGGACGCCAGUCUGCAUGGAGCCGACCUUGAAAUACCACCCUUUAAUGUUUGAUGUUCUAACGUGGACCCGUGAUCCGGGUUGCGGACAGUGUCUGGUGGGUAGUUUGACUGGGGCGGUCUCCUCCUAAAGAGUAACGGAGGAGCACGAAGGUUGGCUAAUCCUGGUCGGACAUCAGGAGGUUAGUGCAAUGGCAUAAGCCAGCUUGACUGCGAGCGUGACGGCGCGAGCAGGUGCGAAAGCAGGUCAUAGUGAUCCGGUGGUUCUGAAUGGAAGGGCCAUCGCUCAACGGAUAAAAGGUACUCCGGGGAUAACAGGCUGAUACCGCCCAAGAGUUCAUAUCGACGGCGGUGUUUGGCACCUCGAUGUCGGCUCAUCACAUCCUGGGGCUGAAGUAGGUCCCAAGGGUAUGGCUGUUCGCCAUUUAAAGUGGUACGCGAGCUGGGUUUAGAACGUCGUGAGACAGUUCGGUCCCUAUCUGCCGUGGGCGCUGGAGAACUGAGGGGGGCUGCUCCUAGUACGAGAGGACCGGAGUGGACGCAUCACUGGUGUUCGGGUUGUCAUGCCAAUGGCACUGCCCGGUAGCUAAAUGCGGAAGAGAUAAGUGCUGAAAGCAUCUAAGCACGAAACUUGCCCCGAGAUGAGUUCUCCCUGAGACUUAGAGUCUCCUGAAGGAACGUUGAAGACGACGACGUUGAUAGGCCGGGUGUGUAAGCGCAGCGAUGCGUUGAGCUAACCGGUACUAAUGAACCGUGAGGCUUAACCUUACAACGCCGAAG